rnacentral:rRNA from 1 species
CGUGUAGGCGGGCGAUCAAGUCAGAUGUAAAAGGCGACGGCUUAGCCGUAGUAUGUCAUCUGAUACUGGUUGUCUUGAGUUCGAGAGAGGGUGGUGGAAUUCCCGGUGUAGCGGUAGAAAUGCGUAGAUAUCGGGAAGAACACCUGAAGCGAAGGCGGCCACCUGGCUCGACACUGACGCUGAGGCGCGAAAGCGUGGGGAGCAAACA